CCUACGGGUGGCUGCAGUGGGGAAUAUUGGACAAUGGGCGAAAGCCUGAUCCAGCCAUGCCGCGUGUGUGAAGAAGGCCUUCGGGUUGUAAAGCACUUUCAGUGGGGAAGAAAGCCUUGGGGCUAAUACCCUCGAGGAAGGACAUCACCCACAGAAGAAGCACCGGCUAACUCCGUGCCAGCAGCCGCGGUAAUACGGAGGGUGCGAGCGUUAAUCGGAAUUACUGGGCGUAAAGCGCGCGUAGGCGGUCUGAUAAGCCGGUUGUGAAAGCCCCGGGCUCAACCUGGGAACGGCAUCCGGAACUGUCAGGCUAGAGUGCAGGAGAGGAAGGUAGAAUUCCCGGUGUAGCGGUGAAAUGCGUAGAGAUCGGGAGGAAUACCAGUGGCGAAGGCGGCUUUCUGGACUGACACUGACGCUGAGGUGCGAAAGCGUGGGUAGCAAACAGGAUUAGAUACCCCGUGUAGUC
rnacentral:rRNA from 1 species